rnacentral:rRNA from 1 species
AUUGAACGCUGGCGGCAGGCCUAACACAUGCAAGUCGAACGAGUGGCGGACGGGUGAGUAAUGUCUGGGAAACUGCCUGAUGGAGGGGGAUAACUACUGGACACGGUAGCUAAUACCGCAUACCAUCAGAUGUGCCCAGAUGGGAUUGGCUUGUUGGUGGGGUAACGGUUCACCAAGGAGACGAGCCCUAGCUGGUCUGAGAGGAGGACCAGCCACACUGGAAUGGAGCUUCGGUCCAGCCUCCUACGGGAGGAAGCAGUGGGGAGGAUUGCACAAUGGGCGCAAUCCUGAUGCAGCCAUGCAUCGUGUGUGAAGAAGGCCUUCGGGUUGUAAAGUACUUUCAGCGGGGAGACGUUACCCGCAGAAGAAGCACCGGCUAACUCCGUGCCAGCCGCCGCGGUAAUUC